rnacentral:rRNA from 1 species
GCAUAUCAAUAAGCGGAGGAAAAGAAACCAACAGGGAUUGCCCUAGUAACGGCGAGUGAAGCGGCAACAGCUCAAAUUUGAAAUCUGGCUUCGGCCCGAGUUGUAAUUUGCAGAGGAAGCUUUAGGCGCGGCACCUUCUGAGUCCCCUGGAACGGGGCGCCAUAGAGGGUGAGAGCCCCGUAUAGUUGGAUGCCUAGCCUGUGUAAAGCUCCUUCGACGAGUCGAGUAGUUUGGGAAUGCUGCUCAAAAUGGGAGGUAAAUUUCUUCUAAAGCUAAAUACCGGCCAGAGACCGAUAGCGCACAAGUAGAGUGAUCGAAAGAUGAAAAGCACUUUGAAAAGAGGGUUAAACAGCACGUGAAAUUGUUGAAAGGGAAGCGCUUGUGACCAGACUUGCGCCGGGCUGAUCAUCCGGUGUUCUCACCGGUGCACUCGGCCCGGCACAGGCCAGCAUCGGUUCUCGCGGGGGGAUAAAGGUCCCGGGAACGUAGCUCCUCCGGGAGUGUUAUAGCCCGGGGCGUAAUGCCCUCGCGGGGACCGAGGUUCGCGCAUCUGCAAGGAUGCUGGCGUAAUGGUCAUCAGCGACCCGUCUUGAAACACGGACCAAGGAGUCAAGGUUUUGCGCGAGUGUUUGGGUGUCAAACCCGCACGCGUAAUGAAAGUGAACGUAGGUGAGAGCUUCGGCGCAUCAUCGACCGAUCCUGAUGUUUUCGGAUGGAUUUGAGUAGGAGCGUUAAGCCUUGGACCCGAAAGAUGGUGAACUAUGCUUGGAUAGGGUGAAGCCAGAGGAAACUCUGGUGGAGGCUCGCAGCGGUUCUGACGUGCAAAUCGAUCGUCAAAUCUGAGCAUGGGGGCGAAAGACUAAUCGAACCAUCUAGUAGCUGGUUACCGCCGA